UGGGGAAUAUUGGACAAUGGGCGAAAGCCUGAUCCAGCCAUGCCGCGUGAGUGAUGAAGGCCCUAGGGUUGUAAAGCUCUUUUGUGCGGGAAGAUAAUGACGGUACCGCAAGAAUAAGCCCCGGCUAACUUCGUGCCAGCAGCCGCGGUAAUACGAAGGGGGCUAGCGUUGCUCGGAAUCACUGGGCGUAAAGGGUGCGUAGGCGGGGUUCUAAGUCAGAGGUGAAAGCCUGGGGCUCAACUCCAGAACUGCCUUUGAUACUGGAAGUCUUGAGUUCGGGAGAGGUGAGUGGAUCUGGGAGUGUAGAGGUGAAGUUCGUAGAUAUUCGCAAGAACACCGGUGGCGAAGGCGGCUCACUGGCCCGAUACUGACGCUGAGGCACGAAAGCGUGGGGAGCAAACA
rnacentral:rRNA from 1 species